rnacentral:rRNA from 1 species
GAGAGUUAAAUAGUACGUGAAAUUGUUGAAAGGGAAACGAUUGAAGUCAGUCAUGCCGGCGGGAAUCAAUUUUGAGGAAGGGGGAUUUUUUGAACCUAACCUUGAAAUGCACUUCUUCGCUUGGCAGGUUAGCGUCGAUUUUGAACGUCAUAAAAUGAUUGGGGGAAGGUAGCUCUUUCGGGAGUGUUAUAGCCCUUAAUUAAUGUGAUGUUUGGGAUCGAGGAUUGCAACGGAUACCUUUUAGGCUAGCCGCCUGGCCUCUGAUUCGAUGUCGGGUUAUAGACAGCACGCUGACUAUGAUUUGAUUAUUGGUCAAAAGGUUAGAGCGAGCAUAAAUUCGUUAAGGACGCUGACGUAAUGGCUUUAAACGA